rnacentral:rRNA from 1 species
CCCUUAGAUGUUCUGGGCUGCACGCGCGCUACACUGACAUACUCAGCAAGUUUCCUUGCCUGAAAGGGUUGGGUAAUCUUGUUAGUGUAUGUCGUGAUGGGGAUAGAAUAUUGUAAUUAUUGCUCUUUAACGAGGAGUUCCUAGUAAGCGCAAGUCAUCAGCUUGCGUUGAUUACGUCCCUGCCCUUUGUACACACCGCCCGUCGCUCCUACCGAUUGGGUGAUCCGGUGAAUGAUUCGGACUCUGGCUAUGCUAGCUACUAGCUACGUCAGGGAAAGUUUUGUGAACCUUAUCACUUGGAGGAAGGAGAAGUCGUAACA